rnacentral:rRNA from 1 species
GACGUAGGGUCCGAGCGUUGUCCGGAGUUACUGGGCGUAAAGCGCGCGCAGGCGGUUUGGUACGUCGGGUGUGAAAGCCCCCCGCUCAACGGGGGAGGGUCAUUCGAAACGGCUGAACUGGAGGCAGGGAGAGGUCGGUGGAAUUCCCGGUGUAGUGGUGAAAUGCGUAGAUAUCGGGAGGAACACCAGUGGCGAAGGCGGCCGACUGGACCUGACCUGACGCUGAGGCGCGAAGGCGUGGGGAGCGAACGGGAUUAGAUACCCUGGUAGUCCCUGAGCGGGCUGGCAA